GUGAACGCUGGCGGCGUGCCUAACACAUGCAAGUCGAACGAUGAUAGAGAGCUUGCUCUCUUGAUUAGUGGCGCACGGGUGAGUAUACCAUAGAUAAUGUACCUCUUAGUUCGGGAUAGCCACUGGAAACGGUGAUUAAUACCGGAUACUCCUUCUUACUCUAAGGUACGUCGGGAAAGUUUUUUCGCUAAGAGAUCAGUCUAUGUCCUAUCAGCUAGUUGGUGAGGUAAUGGCUCACCAAGGCUAUGACGGGUAUCGGGUUGUAGAGGAUGCACAGACACACUGGAACUGAGACACGGUCCAGACGCCUACGGGAGGCAGCAGUGAGGAAUAUUGCACAAUGGAGGAAACUCUGAUGCAGCAACGCCGCGUGGAGGAUGACGCAUUUCGGUGUGUAAACUCCUUUUAAGAGGGAAGAUAAUGACGGUACCUCUUGAAUAAGCACCGGCUAACUCCGU
rnacentral:rRNA from 1 species